AUUGUAACACAAAGGACAUGCCAAAGUGGAAAAGUAGUUAGAGACUGUUGUAUUUUGAUGGAUUCUGAAAGAUGUCCUAUUUGGGAGGUGUGAAUUUAUGCACUGCAUUUCAGGCUCCUGCUCAGAAAGUGAAUAUUCAUCAGGAUUAGCAGAUUCUUCUGUAUGAGGUGUUAAAGUGGGCUGUCAGCGUAAUGAAUGUGUUGUGUUGUUCCCUGUGCUGAGGCUCGUUCUGCCAUCUCCACUCGCCUUUUAAGAAGUGUUGGUUUAUUUACUUGAAGCCAGUUAUUACCCGCUGCGGCCUAUAUAGGCAGGUGGGGGCUGACAAGAUGGACGGUCCUUUCCGGGGCUGGUGCAGGCUGCGAUUCGUGAGUAGCACCGCGAACGAAGCUGCCUUGUCCUGCUCGUUUCUCAGAGGUGGUGCUGGCAGAAGACGUCACACAUCCUGCAGUGCCUUCUGCACUCCAGAGUGGUACACAGCCCAGCGUACCAGAACGGUGGCUAUAAAGAGAGGAGCAAAUUAGAGCAACUGCGCGCUACCCAAGGUCUCCCAAUUACCCUCAUGGCUACAGAGAACCGUAACAGCUGUGUUAUACAGUAAGUUCAAAAGACAGUUUAAGCAAUUUGUUGCUGAUCACUUGCAUAAAAGUGGAUAAAAAAGCCACCAUUCUGAUAUAGGAAUUUGAUAAUUAGUGUAUUUCAUCGUCACAUUUCAUAAUCAGAUUGUGCAGCUGUGAGAGUUUAAAGCAUCUUGCAUCAAGUCAGGUGGACCUAGUGCAGUUUUCUGACAAAGCUAACUGGUAGGCUUAUGCAGGAGCCUGCCUGCUCUUUCCAAAACCAAAGGAGCAAAUCAUUACAUGCCUCGGCACC